rnacentral:rRNA from 1 species
UACGUAGGGGGCAAGCGUUGUCCGGAAUCAUUGGGCGUAAAGAGCGCGUAGGCGGCCCUGUAAGUCCGCUGUGAAAGUCCAGGGCUCAACCCUGGGAUGCCGGUGGAUACUGUCGGGCUCGAGUCCGGAAGAGGCGAGUGGAAUUCCUGGUGUAGCGGUGAAAUGCGCAGAUAUCAGGAAGAACACCAACGGCGAAGGCAGCUCGCUGGGACGGAACUGACGCUGAGGCGCGAAAGCGUGGGGAGCGAACAGG